UUGUAAAGAGUUGGGUCUAAGUUUAAAGGGGCUAAAAUUGGGUUACACUUAAAAGGCUUUUUAUCCUAAUUUUUCUAUUUGUUUCUAAAACUUUCUAACGUCAAUUUUAAAAAUUCCCUAUUUUCCCCGAAUUAUGAACCCUAAAAACAAUCCCAAAUUCUAAAUCUUCUUGCUUGCUGCUCUCAAUUGUGGAUUCCGUCAUAUCACUUCAAUUUCCAAGUUUUUUUAACCAUGGAAAGUGAAUCAACUACAAUGUCAAUGCCGGUAGAUGAUUAGGUUGAUGAAUCUAAUGCCGCCCGUUAGCGUAAAAGGAGUAGGAAAUCUAAAGUUUGGCGAGAAAUGACGGAAGGAAAGAAUGCAAAAGGUGAGUGAAUUGCUAUUUGUAAGCAUUGUACAGUGGAGUUAAUUUCCCACAAUAAUAGUGACACAUCUCAUUUAAUACGUCAUUUGCUUGAUGUGUGUAAAAAACGAACUAGUGGACUUCCACUUGGGGAGACGGUUGAGGAUAAGGAAGAAUUUGUUUUUGAUAUGAGUGAAUUAAGAAAAGAGAUUUUAUUAUAUGUUGUUGAAGGCUCUCAUUCUUUUUCGACCGUAGAAGAAAAAGGUUUUAGGCGGAUGAUGUUAAAGGCUAAUUCUAAAUUUAAACCAUUUAGUCGAGCAACUUUAACAAGAGACCUUUUUUCUUUGUAUGCCUCUUAUAGAGAGAAAUUAUAAAAAAAUUGAGGAAUGCACCUGGACGAAUUUGUUUGACAACUGAUAAUUGGAAAUCAUCACAUACUUGGCAACAUUACAUUUGCAUAACCGCCCAUUUUAUUGAUCAUGAUUGGAAACUUUAUAAAAGGAUUAUUAAGUUCACAUCAUUGUCACCCCCCUUUGAUGGACAAAGCAUCUCCGAAGAGAUUUUUAUGUUUCUUAAUCAAUGGCAUUUAGAUGACAAAGUGCUUAGCUUAACGGUUGACAAUGCAAGUUACAAUGAUGUGAUGGUUAAACACAUGAAAAAUCGUCUUGGGUCAAGGGGUAUGUUUGUUAAUGGUGGUUAUUUUUUUCAUAUAAGAUGUUAUGCUCAUAUCAUCAAUAUUAUUGUCCAAUUCGGUCUAUCUUGUAUUGAGAACAUAUUAGAUAAGAUUAGAAACUUGGUAAAAUUUGUUAGAAGAUCAUCUUCUAGAAGCAAGGACUUUUAUGAUACCGCUCAAAAGCAUUUUCAUUUAGAGGCUAAGAGGAAACUUCGUAUGGACAUGCAAGUUUGUUGGAACUCUACAUAUAUGAUGCUUGAUAAUGUGCUUUACCAUAAAGAUGUGUUUAUUCAUUUGGGUUCAUUACAUGCAUCUUUCAAUAGUAAUGUGCCUUUGGAUGACGAAUGGGAAAAUUUGAGUGUUGUUCACAAGUUUUGUUACAUGUAUGUUCUCGGCCAAUAAGUCUCCAACUUAUAACAUGUAUUUUAAGGGAGCAUGUAUGGUCACUACUACAAAAUUCAUGGAAUCUCGACGCCAUAGCCUCGACGCUGCUGGGUUACCGUCAAGGUGAAAUGACAUAUCCCGUGGUUUGGCGACGCUUUUCUAGGUCGAACUAAUUUAUUGACUUGGAAAAGCGUCGAGAUUUAGUGAUAUAUCACAUGUCCCGGACGUGAGAUAUUAGAUAAGCCGCAUACAAAUCUAAGAAAGGGAAGAUGAUAAACUACUGCUUUCAACACUGUUGAAAAAUCCCUCAUUUCUACCAGAUCUACUCUCCACCGCAGCAAAUCUAUCUAAAUUGUUUAACUGGUUUGCAAUCUUCUUGCUUGAUGAAUUGAAUAUUUUAUAGAUGUAUCAAUUUCUUCCAUGACCGGCCUAUUUUCAUACAGAUUUCAGGUAUUAUCUUAUUACUCUUUAGAUUUUGAUUUUAGGGUUUCAAUAUCAUACUUUUUUCUUCUGAUAAAUCUCUUUUAAUUUAUCAUGGAUGAAGAAAAGAUGAAGAAAGGAGUAAUGGAUUGUGAAUUCGUUGUCAUGAAGUAGUCAAUUCUCACCUUUACAUACAAGUAUAUUCCCUCCUUUAGAUUACUAUUUUUCAAACUGCUUGAGUAUAAAUUUCAUCGAUUUCUAAUGAUUAGGUUUGAUUUUGUUUGUUUUGGCGAUUUAGGGUUUGAGAAUUUUGUUAUUAAUUAAUUGAUAAAUCAAUUGGGUAAAAAUGUUGUCAAGAAAACAUUUUUUUUUAUUUAUUUUUUUUUAAAAUAAUCGAUUAAAAUCUGAUUUAGUAGCAAGUUUUUCAUUUUAAUAUUUAUAUAUUUUGUGUAAAUUUUGUUCUUUUAGUUUAUCUUGUGCAAAAUAUGUUAAAUCAGUUAUCAUAUAUAGCAAUCAUUAGGGUGAAGGUUAUGCUAUGAAAUUCUAUAUAUUUGCUCUUGCAAUUGUCUAUUGUAAUCAUCUAUAAUUUUUAGGAUCAAGUGUGUGUAUUGAUGUUGUGCUUUGCUUGGAACCCGUGAUAUUGAAGAAAUUGGAGACAAAGGCAUCUACUUUUGAAAGGGCCUUUUGGCAUUCAUGGAGCAUCACUUGUUUUUAAAGCUGGAGACAAAGGCAUCUACUCAGAGAUAUGGGCAGAACAACUUCUAAGCAUGUAUGUCAAUUGGGCUGAAAAGCAAGGUUACAAAGGUAGAGUAUUGGAGAAGUGUUCCUCGAACAGUGGGGGCAUUAAGUCUGCCACUAUUGAGUUUGAAUUUAAGUAUGUUUAUGGAUUUUUUAUUGGCGAAAGAGGUGUUCACCGCAUGAUCUAAUGAGUUCACUUGAAAAAACAAGUUGCCAUGAGGUACACUUUGCUUAACUAGUGCUGAUUUCUAAAAGUGCAUUUAUUAUCACCAGAUGAUCUAAUUUCUACAUAAAGCUGAUAUAAUACUUCCAUUUGGAUUCAAUAAUAACAUUGCAAAUUCAAUAUUUGGUAUAGUAACAAUUAUUUCAGGACAGAGGUUGAGAGGUAUAAUGAAAGCCUAUAGCUAGUAACUAUUAUAGGAUAAACCAUAAGGUCAUUUACAUGGUAUCAUUAUCAGGCCAAUGAUAGUCAAAAGGUCUUAAAGCUUGAAUUUGUGGCCUCGUUAUUCUAACAGUGAAAUAUGUCGGCAUAAGAUAUGAGGAGGGCGGGUGCAUCAUCCGCACUUCAAUUCAAGUCAGUUUGAAAAGCACAACUGGUGAUAUCGAUAUGUAACUCUGUAAGCAUUGGUACAAAAAAAAUACUAUAAGAAUUUUUGGGCAGUUUUACAGCUUCCAAAGAUGUAUACACCUUAUAGCUUACUAGUAUUGAAAUAGCUUAUAUUUUUUAACACUCAACAUUCUUUGCUUUGUAUAGUGUAGAAAUUGGUUGAGCUUUCCGUGAUAUUAUUUAAUAUCUCACUGUUCCCUGAUUUUAUGUGCAUGUCAUCUUAGCAGCUAUGGAUGUCAUUCCUCUAUUUCUUGAGACGAUCUCUGACUUACCAUUAGAUGAUAAUGAUCUAAUUAUAUCCUAUUUGCCGAGUGAAAAUGAUACAGGACCAAUUGUACACGUUGUUCAUAUUCAGCAUGAUCCUAAAGGCAUAUGCGUGCAAUCCUCAUGUAUGACAAGCUGACUUCUGUGUUCAUGAUUAUGAUGGUAGUGGGUAGCAUAUAAGGGAAAUUGUGAUUGACAUUAUGCAUAUCCUAGCUCGAGUCUUGAGAUUUGUGAAGGGUGAAUCUGUGAUCUACACAACUUUUGAUUGCUCUACAAUGAAGAAGAUUGUGCAGCCAAUCCUUUUUUUGCUCAAAUUCAGCAGGCCCUGGCUUCCAUCUUUAUUGAGAGGCUGCUAUGGCUCUCAAAAAAAUGUUUCAAGGUCUGAACUGAUUGCCACGCUAGCUUGGGCCUCUCUUGGCACUGUAGGAAUAUGUCCACCUUUGAGAAGAAUUCAUUUAAUGAUGUUGAGGUUUCCAGGGGGGUUGUGAAUAUGGUGCGUGAAAGUAAUGAGUAUACUGGAAGGGUUGCUAGAAGACCCAGCCAAAUCUGCCCACCAGUCAGUUCGUGGAGUUACGUUGCCCAAGUCAGAGAAGGGUCAAGGUAAAUCGUGAUGCCCAUUUGGGCAUUAAAACCGGCUUGGGGGCUGUGAUCAGAAAUGAUCAAGGGACUGUUGUUGCUGCUGCAGUGGGGCAGGAGGGUACAGGGUGGGAUGUAGGGUGUGCGAAAGUUGUUGCCUGUCAGUAUGGUCUACUUGUGGCGAAGAGGUUGGGAUACUCUGAUGUUCAGCUUGAAGGGUCAAGGUAAAUCGUGAUGCCCAUUUGGGCAUUAAAACCGGCUUGGGGGCUGUGAUCAGAAAUGAUCAAGGGACUGUUGUUGCUGCUGCAGUGGGGCAGGAGGGUACAGGGUGGGAUGUAGGGUGUGCGAAAGUUGUUGCCUGUCAGUAUGGUCUACUUGUGGCGAAGAGGUUGGGAUACUCUGAUGUUCAGCUUGAAGGGUCAAGGUAAAUCGUGAUGCCCAUUUGGGCAUUAAAACCGGCUUGGGGGCUGUGAUCAGAAAUGAUCAAGGGACUGUUGUUGCUGCUGCAGUGGGGCAGGAGGGUACAGGGUGGGAUGUAGGGUGUGCGAAAGUUGUUGCCUGUCAGUAUGGUCUACUUGUGGCGAAGAGGUUGGGAUACUCUGAUGUUCAGCUUGAAAGUGAUGCCUUGAAUGUGGUGAAUGCUGUCCGAAACAAUGCCAAAGGAUUUUCCCUUGUGUUUCUCCUAUAUGAUAAUAUUUGUAGGCUUUUUUCAGUUUUAGUUCGUUUUUAAUUUCUUAUGUAAAGCAUUCGGGUAAUACAUUAGCUCAUAAUGUCGCUAGAUGGGAGACUAGAAAUUGUGACGAAUUUGUAUCUUUGGGUCCUUUUCCUCAAAGUUUAUUGACUUUGGCGGAAAUUGAUCUUCUUUAAUAUAUUUUUCCCGUUGCUUGACCUCAAAAAAAAAAAUAUGCGACAUUUUUUUUAAUUAAUUGUAUUGAUGUUUUCUUUAAUAAAUUUAGUAAUUAACUACGUACUA